GACGAACGCUGGUGGCGUGCCUAAUACAUGCAAGUCGAGCGGACCAAUAGAAGCUUGCUUCUGUUGGUUAGCGGCGGACGGGUGAGUAACACGUGGGCAACCUGCCUAUAAGACUGGGAUAACUUCGGGAAACCGGAGCUAAUACCGGAUAAUUCAUCCCCUCGCAGGAGGGGAUGCUGAAAGUCGGUUUACGCUGACACUUACAGAUGGGCCCGCGGCGCAGUAGCUAGUUGGUGAGGUAAUGGCUCACCAAGGCGACGAUGCGUAGCCGACCUGAGAGGGGGAUCGGCCACACUGGGACUGAGACACGGCCCAGACUCCUACGGGAGGCAGCAGUAGGGAAUCUUCCACAAUGGACGGAAGUCUGAUGGAGCAACGCCGCGUGAGCGAUGAAGGCCUUCGGGUCGUAAAGCUCUGUUGUUAGGGAAGAACAAGUAUCGGAGUAACUGCCGGUACCUUGACGGUACCUAACCAGAAAGCCACGGCUAACUAUGUGCCAGCAGCCGCGGUAA
rnacentral:rRNA from 1 species